rnacentral:rRNA from 1 species
CGUAGGUGACCUGCGGAAGGAUCAUUAAAAGGAGUGAAAUGGGUAUUUGGGCGAGGGGUUGGGUGAGGAGUAUGGUGUGGGGAGGCAGAGGGUGUGGGUUGAGGGUGGGCCGAGGGUGCAGCAGCAUAUAUCGAUUGGUAUGAGCUGCUGCCGGCAGUGUGCAGGCUCGCUGAUGCGCGCCACAUGGUUCACGCCACGUGGCUCACGCACGCCCGCUACAUGCACCUGCCAAAACACAUGAUAACGUUUUUAUCACAUGAUAACAUAAUAUCUUAUCAUAAUACAACUUUUAACAAUGGAUCUCUAGGCUCUUGCAUCGAUGAAGAACGCAGCAAACUGCGAAAAGUAAUGUGAACUGCAUACUUUGUGAAUCAUCGAAUCUUCGAAUGCACAUUGCGCCUCUUGACGCCGUCACCAGGCAUGCUUGUUUGAGUAUCACGAUUGAAUGUUGCAUCUAUUUUAUUAUGGGUGCGCGACUGAGAUCCAGGGCGAUUUCAUAGCCUUGUUUCUUUAAAGAUCUGGCAUGGGGAGGUUCAAUGUAAAGAUUGAACUGCACUGAAAGUCUUGUAGCUCCGCAUUGGGAUAGCCAUUUCAAUGCGCAUGCGAGGCAUGUCAGGAGCCACGCCGAAGCCGGAGGGGGGAGUGCUGGACAUCGGGGAUUGCUCCGCGAUGCUCAUCUCAUUUUCCCCUCCACGCAUGGCGCACUAAAGCGCGCCAUGCUUUUGCACUGAUCUCAAAUCAAGCAAGACUACCCGCUGAACUUAAGCAUAUCAGUAAGCGGAGAAAAGAAACUAACAAGAUUCCUCCAGUAACGCGAGUGAAGAGGGACCAGCUCAAAUUUAAAUCGCGCAUG